CACGGAGCAAAAACGGGAGCUGGAAGCAUGUAAAUACAAUAAUAACCACUGCAGCCAAGAAGAGUGCCUGACGAGCCCAGCUACCAGCUGGUAUAUUAGAAGGAGGAGAUCAGCUGUUCAACGCUGGAUUGUUGUGAAGGCUCUAAUUCCCCGGACCCGUCCCCGUGUUUCCCCGUGUGAAGUGUGGAAGGAGUGACUGGUCGCUAACGGAGAAGAGAGAGGUUGAACUGAGCGCGUGUAUGAUUUCCCCGUUUUCCCUGGAGCCCUGGACCCCUGCCCCUCACGUCUUGUAUAUAGCACUAACCCCGCACUGUCUGUACAUACACUUGGUGAAGAUCUGUAAAUAAACUGUCUCUGUUUAAAC
ensembl:lncRNA